GAUGAACGCUGGCGGCGUGCUUAACACAUGCAAGUCGAACGAAGCUUCCGGACGGAUCCCGUCCGGGGAGAAGGAAGGAAUGACUGAGUGGCGGACGGGUGAGUAACGCGUGGGAAACCUGCCCUAUACAGGGGGAUAACAGCCGGAAACGGCUGCUAAUACCGCAUAAGCGCACGGUGCCGCAUGGCGCAGUGUGAAAAGCUCCGACGGUAUAGGAUGGUCCCGCGUCUGAUUAGCCAGUUGGCGGGGUAACGGCCCACCAAGGCGACGAUCAGUAGGGGUUCUGAGAGGAAGGUCCCCCACAUUGGAACUGAGACACGGUCCAAACUCC
rnacentral:rRNA from 1 species